UUGCGCACAGCGCCGUAACACUGAAGCGUAAAAAAUCCCUAUUCUUACUCUAAUUGAUAGUAAGAAUCAUGAUCUAAUUUCCGCCCUCGGCGACCGACGUGAGACAUGUGUCCCCACUUACGGCGGCUUUGCUCGAACUCAGUGGUUUUACGCGUAAUCCAACGCGCUCUUGAAGCAUUACAGGCCUUAAGCGUGACAUUUGCGGGAUAGAAGUGUAAUUGCACCCUCAUUCUGUCUCUCUGUUCUGUGCAGGUUUGCUGCAUUGUCGUGGAGUGUAGCUGUGGCCUCUCCUCCUCCUCUUCUGCUGCGCUCUGGGGGCGGGCAGACUGGAGAGACGGUUGCAUUAAUAAUGCAAGGCUGCCUGGAAACCGAACGCGCUGCAGUGAAGUGCUGUGUGGAAUGCUAAAGAGGCAUUUGUUUGUGUGUCGCCCGUUUGCAUCCCUCCCCGUCCUCUAAAAGCACUAGUGCCACCAUCCUAAGUUGCGCACAUAUGCGUGUGUGUGUGCUUUGUGAAUUUGUUUGUGUGUGUAGCUCAGCAGAUGCGAGUUUCCUAGGGGUGCAAAGUCUAGCCUUUCUCGUUCCAUAUGUGUCUUUGUUGCCAUAUUGACAGAUGACAUAUUGACGUGCUUGUUUGAGUGACGGCUCUGUAUUUUACUGCAAUCGUACUUUCGAUAUUCGACAGUGUGAGUUAAAGAAAAGGAAAAUUAUCAACCACUCUAGAAUCUUCAGUCACUGAGAAUGUCUCAGUGUGAGUUUAAACAUACAAUCAUAGUGACUCUCUCACACACACAAACACACAUUAACCACACUGUGGUGUCUAAAGUAGGAGGAUGUUUACCUUCCAUUUACUCCUUUUUUGAGGUGAUUGAUAGUAUUUUUUAUGCUUUUUUCAGAGAAAUUUUCUUGAGGUUUCUUUGCAGCAGACUCAUCCCAACCAGGUGCCACGCAACAAGUUUCCCAGGACAAGUGAAAGAGAAAAUGCUGCAUGAAGCAGAUUCACAGACCCCCUAGCACCUCACUGUGGACCUUUGGUGGUCCCUGAAUACCGGUUUGGAAAGUUCUGUACUAAUGGAUUGAAGAAAGGCGCUUAUAUGGAGCAGGAAAUUGAAAAAUAUCUGAAGAGCGAAUCCAAGGACAGAAGAAAAGACACAUAGAGAUUUUCAACUACGCAUCCAGUCAGCGAAAACCGCAUGCGUGAUUAAGCAGUCAUCCCUCACAGCUGUCUCCACAUCAGUGAAGCGGUUGCCAAGGCAAAGCAGAGGAUCAGACAGCAGAGAGCAGGAGUUGGGGGGAAUGUAGAUGCUGGUGGCUGGGAGGUUUCUGCACAUUAUCAAGUCUUCUCAGGAAGCAUCCUGGACGAGGAGAGCUGGAGAUUGAGAGAAAGACUUCAGCCGGCUGCCGUCACAACGUCCCAGAUGAGUUCCCUCUCUACCUGAUUUAAUAUUCAAUGUUCCCGCUCUUUCUGUCCAAUGCAUUUCAGUGACUUUUCCAGUUGAUCGUAAUUAUCAGUUAGUGAUUUUUAACAAUUUCAAGCUGAGCACAUGUAGAAAAAUUUCUCAUAAUUUCUUUUUUUUUUUUUUUUUUUUUUUUUUUUUAAUAAGAAUUUAGUCAUUUCCGUAGCUUUUCAGACAGUAAUAAUUUUUGGAUAAGGAUUUUGUUUUUUCGUUUUUUGGAUAACACACAUGUAAAACAAAAACCCUAUAUAAAAAUGAUAGAAAAAAACAAGAUUUUAUUCAUUUUGAUGAUUUUUCUAAUUUAUUAGAUAAGGAUUUAUAAC